rnacentral:piRNA from 1 species
UGAUUUCCAGAUGCUGCUCCAA